UGCAGUCGACGAUGAACCACUUCGGUGGGGAUUAGUGGCGAACGGGUGAGUAACACGUGGGCAAUCUGCCCUGCACUCUGGGACAAGCCCUGGAAACGGGGUCUAAUACCGGAUACUGACCCGCUUGGGCAUCCAAGCGGUUCGAAAGCUCCGGCGGUGCAGGAUGAGCCCGCGGCCUAUCAGCUUGUUGGUGAGGUAAUGGCUCACCAAGGCGACGACGGGUAGCCGGCCUGAGAGGGCGACCGGCCACACUGGGACUGAGACACGGCCCAGACUCCUACGGGAGGCAGCAGUGGGGAAUAUUGCACAAUGGGCGAAAGCCUGAUGCAGCGACGCCGCGUGAGGGAUGACGGCCUUCGGGUUGUAAACCUCUUUCAGCAGGGAAGAAGCGAAAGUGACGGUACCUGCAGAAGAAGCGCCGGCUAACUACGUGCCAGCAGCCGCGGGUAAUACGUAGGGCGCGAGCGUUGUCCGGAAUUAUUGGGCGUAAGAGCUCGUAGCGGCUUGUCACGUCGGUUGUGAAAGCCCGGGGCUUAACCCUGGUCUGCAGUCGAUCGGGCAGCUAGAGUUCGGUAGGGAGAUCGGAAUUCCUGGUGU
rnacentral:rRNA from 1 species